rnacentral:lncRNA from 1 species
AGAGAGGCUGCAGAGAGGGCACUACCUUUUAGAGUGGAGCAAACUCAUUUCUGGAAGGAGGACCAUCGGAGGACGCGUGGUGGAGGCGGUUUUAGGAACAACAUGCUGUCUUGAGUAAGGGGCAAGAAAAAUAGAGGGGGCAAAGAGUUGUGAGGGAUAGCAGAGGUGUAGAGAGGGGAACACCCAUUUAGGGGCGAGCUGUUUCUAGAGAGUUGGAGGAGAGUGAGAGGGAGCCAUGGGAAGAAGAAAGGACGCAAAGAGAAAGAAGAGGGAGCUGGUAGAGCUUGGAUGAUUUUGGGAUAGAGUAGAGGAGCAGAGGGGAAGACUAGCUUGAAGCCAAAUAGAUCUCUGUUUGAGAGGAGGAUCAUAAGGUAAUGUUAUUGUCUCUAUUUUCCAUUGUUUUGUUUUCCUAUCUAUUGGUUCCAUCGCAUUUUUUGGUUUGGGUGUGGAUAUCAAACUCUACAUUUGGUCUUUUGUUGAUCUUUGAGAUGAUUUUGUACUUGUUGUCCUUGUUUUUUUUUUUUUUUUUUUAAUAUUCCUCUUGGUUUUACUGGAAAAUAACCUCACUUUGUUUAAUUCCACUAUAAGUUAUUUGAGAAGUCCCUGUUCUUAUCUAGACCCUUGUUCUCACCCACCUGGCUUACAAGAUCACUCGUCACUUAUGAAGUGAAGCUUCAUUUGAUGACCAAGUUAUUUGUUAUGCUUUGUUUCUAUGGUUACUUUCCUAUUGUUGCUUCUCUAUUUUUGGUUUCUAUCUAUGGUUUCAUUUCUUGAUAUUGCUGUCCUAGAUGCCUACCGGCAACCCUUUGCUCCAAACAUGCCAUAUGAUGUUUCGUCAGCUACAGUUUCACAAAAAACAAAGUUGCCUUCAGAAAUUGGUUCCAUGUCGAACGGGUCAGAUGUGUUUGGAGUUGCGGCCUCUGGUUAGAUUGGUCAAUCCCUUUGAAGGAGUGGUCUAAGUUAUCAUCACCAACAUCGUCUUAACAACCAGUGGUUGCACAAAGUAUGUCCAGGUUUAAUCUCUGAAAGACAUCUUGGCAACAUGGAUCACUUUCCACCUUUGGAUCUCAGUCAACUUGAAAUACAGAGGUCACCAGUUUAUUGAUACAUGGCCUAGCAAGGCUCAAUGGUCAUAUCCUGCUACCAUAACUGCUUUGAGAAAUGGAAGUUGACUGAUAGGUGAGAACAUGAAAUGCCUUCAACUUCAUAUAAUUCACUUGUUUUGUGAAAAUGUUGUAAUUGAAAGGUUUGAGACAGGAGGGGUGGUGAAAGCAUAUAGGGUAGAAAAUUCCAGAUGAUUCAUUCAGGCUAAGGCAUGAUAUAACUAGCCCUUUAUCUAUGUCAUUUGCUGAUCAGGACACUGUUGGUUCUCAAUUUGUUGUCAUCUUCAGUGCUUUGUUUGUAUCAUUGAAAUGUUAAGGAAAGAGGAAUUCAAGUGGUUGACGUCAGUACUGUCAUUGAGAUUGCACAAUUUGAUUCUGUUUUGGUCAUCUCCCAUUAUAGUUUUUUUAUUUUUUAUUUUUAUAAGAAAAAAAAUAUAUUGAAAAGAGCUGCCAAGACAGUGACUGAAGAGUAAACAAAGAAGAAACACCCCCUUUCCCCAACUGGAACAAUCAGUUGUCAAAAACAAAGGUGCAUAAAAACUCCUCAACUAUCAUCUCCCAUUGUAGUAUUGGCAGUUACUUUCUGGGCAUACUACUUUCCUGGAAUUGCUCUCUCUGCAAGCAAUGUUUUCCCAUGCAUGGCAAGUUUAGGCAUUACCCAAGAGCCAAUUUCAGAAGUUGGGACCCCAUGACCAUUACUUUCCCUAGUCCGUACUAUCUUUAACUUGCCCAUGUUGCUUCUUUGUUUCUAUUUUGGGGCUUUGUCAGUACUCGUUUGGCAAACAAGUUUUAUAUGGAUGCUUUUUGUUGCGUUCACUAGAUAUUGGGGUUGCAUUUGUGAUGUUUAAGGAUGUAUCUGACCUAUUCACUAGCACUUUUGCUAGAAGCUUAUAAAGACUGUCUACUAGGUUAAUGAGCCUAAAAUCCUUGAUAUCUUUUGCCCUCCCUUCUUAGGAAUAAGAGCAAGAAAGUAGCAUUGAGGUUGUGAACAAAGAAAUCCUUCUAGUAAAAUUCCUCAAAAAGUUACAUCACCUUCCUACCCACCAUGGCCCAACAAAAAUUUCCAAAGACUAAUGAAAAGCCAUCUAGCCCUAACGCUUUAUCACUGUCCAAAUCAGAGAGGGCAGAUAAGACCUCAUCCUCCAAGAAAAGCCCUUUUAUAAGAUCUUUAUCUAAAGCUUCAAUGCCUUUGAAGAGAUCUGUUGCCAGAUCCGGUCUCUUUGCUUGAGAAUAUUCAAACAUUGACUUAAUAGUAGCAAUACCACCCUUGAGCUCCUCCUCGUCUUCCAUCCUAAUCCCAUUAACUUUAAGACUAUUGAUCAAAUUGCUAUCCCAACAAGCAUUAGGCAUGUGAUACAAGAUUUUUUUGUUCUUAUCACCUACCUUUAACUACAUAGUCCUUGAUUUCUACCUCUAAGAGAUUUCUUCUCAAAUGGUUAAGUGGUCAUAGUCAUCCAUAGCAAGCCUCUGACUCCUUCUACCUCUUCUGAGAGGGAUUUGACCUCUUUCAAUAUUGUCCCAAUUAUUUAUCAUCUCCAAAGUAGCUUCUUUCUUAGCUAAAACAUUUCCAAACACCUUUCUAUUCCAUUUCUUGAGGUCCUUUUGUUAAGGCCUGCAUCUUGUUGAAAAGCGCAACACUUGUACUGCCCCUAAACUCAUACUUUUGCCAACAUUUGAUCAAAUCCCCAAAUCCUUCCACCUUCAGCCACACAUUUUCAAAACAGAACAGAGUUUUGUUGUCCUUUCUCCUCCACACACCAAGAAAAUAGGAUACUAGUAAAAAACUGGCCUUGGCAACAAUUGCUACCUUCACCUGAAAAAUGCUCCUCCCAAUUGUUGGAGGAUAGAAAAUAGUAUAACCGAGCCUUGAAAGAGCCUUCCUGCCUCCCACACCAAGUGAAAGCGCCACCUCCUAGAGGUGGAUGCACAUCAAACUCAUCUAUGAAACUACAUAACUCCCUUAUCGCUGAACACAUCCAACUACAAUUCCCUUUUUUUCAAUUGGAAAAUGUACCACAUUGAAGCCACCUCCUUAGCACCAAGGCUCAUUUCAUAGCCCUCUAAUCGAGGCCAACUCCUCCCCCAUCUCCAUUUUUUUCAUUCCCUUAAGGAGGUCAUAGAUCCCUGAAAACACCCAAGUAAAACCAUCUAUGCAAUUUUUUUACACAAACAAAAAUGGAAAAGGAACCUAUUCCAUGUUUAAUUGCGCCAAGACCCUAGAGUCCCACAUUAACAAGACCCCUCCCUCUGUCCUCCUAUCAUCCAGAGAAGCCCACUUUAGGUUCCUUUUCAUCUCCAAGCUUCUCACAACCCUAGCAAUCAUGUCGCUUAGUUUGGUUUCCUAAAAACAAAAGAUUUGAUUACCUUCCUUUUUUUCUAGACCAUGCAUUCCUCUCAAACCCCUAGAUGGAAUAUGUAACUUCUUUGAAAAACUGAAAUCAAAACUAAUACCACCCCUAUUUUAUUCUCUGCCCGACUUCUCCUCAUAAUUAAUGGAGCUUAAUAAUUUUCUAAGUUCUUUGUCUCUCCAGUUUGUGGAGCUUGUUAUUUUUUCUGUUUGGGAUUUAUCAGGUAAUUACAAUGUCUUUGAAGGAAUGUUGGGACGGAAUAGGAGACUUGUACGGAAGAGCCCAAGGAGCUUGUGGAGGGUUGCUCCUUUAUGUGUGAUUUGGUGCAUUAGAAAGAGUGAAAUAGAAGAAGUUUCAGGGGUGGGGAAAGUUUUAGAGUGAUUAUGAAAAGUACAUUUUAAACAUUUUGUUUGUUGGUCUUCAGUCUCUUUGGAUUUGCAUGUUGGUUCUCCUUAGAUUUUAUUGACUGUUAGAUAGCAGGUACAGUUUGUGGUCCUUUUCUACUUGGCAUGCUCUAUAUCUAUCUUAUUUCCUUUGGUUGCAUCCCUUUUUCUAUUAGGUGCCUUUACAAGUUUUUUUUUUUUUUUUUUUUUUACCUAUUAAAACAAAUGAAUGAAUUCUUUCCAUUUUUUUCUUUAAAUUUCUAGUUCAUUUUUUUUUAUUUAUCAUUUGGACUUAGUUCAUUAAGAAUCCAUUACAAGAUCUAUUUCUUCUUUCACUACUCUUUCAAGGAUUAGAAAAUUAAUCAAAGAUUUUUAAUUUCAUUUGGAGGUUAAUCAGUAAAAACACAGCAUGAUUGACUGACACAUAAUUCUAAAAAUUAAGACUCAUUCUUUAUGUUUGCAUUUUUAGGAUAUCUUUUGGGUACAUGGCAGAGGCUCAAGAAUCUGUGCUUGUCAAUUCAUGUAAAGAAACUCAUCACAUAUACAUGCAUGAUACAAAUUCAUUACAAAAUCCUUUUCACUUUCCUAUGCAUGCGUGUUUAUGUUUGUAUCAUUAUAUGUAGACUGUUACGAAAUAGUUAGAAUAGGCAAUAAGAAAAAACAAAAGAAGAACACAUAGAUAUACGUGGAAAACCUUAAACGAGAAAAACUAUGGGUAGAGGAGAAGGAAAUCCACUAUGUCAAAAUUGGUACAAGAUGGGAGAGUUACGAGCGGUUACAGGAGAAGCAUAAGAGUCAUAACCCUAAAAAUAUGCAUCAUCACAUACAUACAUACAUACAUACAUACAUACAUAUAUAUAUAUAUAUAGAGGGAGAGUAAUUAACAAAGUAGGUCCCUAUCGCUGGAGCAAGCCCCCACACCCCCAAUGAGAUCAAUGGUAAGUUAUGAGGAUCAGCCCGAUCUUUCUACUACCACCACAAACCUCCUAAAAAAUCUCAUAAUUAUAACUUCACCACAUAUGUUGUACCAUGAGCUUUUUAAGUCAAACCAAAUAGAAUUUGGGUCAUCAAACUCUAACAAUCUCCACCUUGACAUGAAUUUCAAUGUAAGAAGUGAAAAAAAUACAAACUCCGAUAGAGUUUGUCUAACCAUAGGCUCAUCAUUAACACUGCCACUCUCACUGCAUCUGAAAUAUAGGAUAUAACCCAACACUAAGUUGACCAAUUUGUCCAUUAUCAACCCCGAAAUCCUUAUUUUUCUUAAAAGCCUUUAAGAAAUAUGAGGCACCAUCCCGAGUUAUGAUUCCAAGACAAUCACUGAGCUCUUUCUUGGUCACCCCAAUACCAAUAUCUGCUACAGUAUGGUUCCAAAUGUUAACAGCAAAACAUGAAAGAAUCACUACCUCAUAAUCCUUAGCUUAAUGGAUCCCUGGAAGCAGCCUAUUAGAGUAACAUUUCAAAAGCUGAACUACAAUUUUGGAUGACUUCAGAUCUCUAUAGACAUAGGCCUUCGAUAAAUUAGCAAAUAUAGCAUCUUCUAGCCCUUGAACAAUUUUCAACAUAACAUUCAGACCAGUAGUGGUGUAGUAGAAGGUUUGUUUUGAAAUGAAAUGUAAAAACAUUUAAGAACAAACACAAAGAUUACAAUAUGAUCUGAAAAUUAGAGAAUAAUUUUGAAAAUUUUCAUUGAACUCCUUCUAACAAUUAUAAUAAGCCUUUAAAUAAUGUUUGUAGUGAAAAAAUAUAGGAAAUGAAGAUAGUUAGAAACUAGGAAAACUAGGAAAGAAAUAGGAAACUAACGAUGAAGUUAAAAUAUAGAUUAAAGAAAAAUAAUAAUGAACUUAAGAUAGAAACUAAUGAUGAUUGUGUACUACAUCAAGUAGUUUCAAUACCAGAAGUCGCUUCCAAUUUUUCAAUGUUAAUUCUCUCUAUCUGUUGGAAUAUAUGCAGGACCAUCCCUUAGAAUGCCCUGAGCUGCUUGCAUCUCAUUUGUAUGUCGCGAAUCAAAAUUUCCAGACUAGUUAUGUUCUUUGGUUUUCCCAGCUUGAAUCAAUUUCUCAAGUAAGAGGUUGGGAUUGUCCAAAUUCGAGGCUUUACUUAUGCUACUAUCUUGUGUUAUCUACUUGGAACCAGGUUUAUCCAAUUGUCUCUCACACAGUCCAUGCAUACCUGC